UAAGAUAGUUGUGAACACGGUAGGGCUGCUAACUUUAUUGUAAAAGAUUAAGAGUCUUUUUAUCUUAU
rnacentral:tRNA from 1 species